rnacentral:rRNA from 1 species
AAACCUGAGAAACCCAAAAGAUCGAAUGGGGAGAUUCAUCGUCAGCGGCGUUGGCUUCCGUGCGGUUCGCGAUGUCCGGGACCUCGGUCCCGUGCACGCAGUCGCUGCGGUAUGUCCGACCUCGUCGGCGUGCACUUCUCCCCUAGUAGGACGUCGCGACCCGUUGGGUGCCGGCCUACGGCCCGGUUGGUCGACUGUCGCGUCUCGUUCACGCGGGUACGCGGCAGACCACCGGUUGCCCGGCCGGCUGCCCGGCGGUAUAGAUCGCUAUAAAAUGGUAUCGAGCCGCAUUAAGUGCGUUCAGGCUCGUCGGCAGGCUCGUCUCUCUCGGAUUUACGGACCUAGUGCCGUUGCCGGGUGCUUGGCGUGGCCGUUAGUCGACGAUGUCCUCGGACUGGCUCUUACAUUCGAACGGAUAUACCGGUCAGCGACGCUACUGCUUUGGGUACUUU